GGAGAAAGAAGGGAUGGGGAUGGGGAGGGGAUGGGUGAAGAACAGAGCGGAGGGAAGGGCUGAGGGGAGGGCUGAAGGCAAACCUAUGAUGAAAAAAGAAAAGAAAAAAUAAGAACAAAAAAUAUGGAAAAAAAGAGAAAAAAAGAAAAGAAAAAUAAGAAAAAGAGAAAAAAUGAAAAGAAAAAAGAAAAAAUGAACAAAAAAGAAGUAAAAAGAGAAAAAAAUGAAAAAAAGAGAAAAAAGAGAAAAGAAAAAAAGAACAUGAACAAAAAAGAGAAAAAAGUGAAAAGAUAAAAAAAGAAAAAAGAUAAAGAAAAGAGAAAAGAAAAAAAGAGAAAAUAGAAAUAAAAAAGAGGACAGAAAAAUAUGAAAAAAAGAAAAAAGAAAAAAAGGAAAGAAAAAAAUAGUAGAUGAAAAAAGAAAAAACAAAAGGAAAAACGAAUAAUGACAAGAGAAGAAAGGUAAAGAGAACAGAAGAAAAAAGCCAAGUCAAAAAGUAAAGAAUAACUCGAAGGAAGGAGUGGAUGGCAAGAAAUACAGAGAAAGCAGUGCAUAGCACAGCAGAGCAAAGCAAGGCAAAAUAGCAGCCAAAGCCACGAGAAUCAAGAAGUCAGUGAAGAGCAGGAAAGGAAUGGAGGAAUCUGGCCAGAGCUGUGCCCCUGCUUGCCACAGGAGCUGCGCGGAAGGAGAAGAAUGUGGGCCAAAAGGUAAGAGGAGCUCCUUUGGGUUCUGGGCUUGAAGCAAAGCUGAGAAGCCAUGCCCGGGAGGAGGUGUGGGUAGCUACAGGCCACCUUGCUAUCUCCCCAAGAGAUGAGGUGUGUGGGCUAGGCACCGGGCAGGAGUGCUGGCCAGAAGCAAGCAUCUCUGUGGAG
ensembl:lncRNA